rnacentral:rRNA from 1 species
AGAGUUUGAUCCUGGCUCAGAUUGAACGCUGGCGGCAUGCCUUACACAUGCAAGUCGAACGGCAGCACGGGAGCAAUCCUGGUGGCGAGUGGCGAACGGGUGAGUAAUAUAUCGGAACGUGCCCAGUCGUGGGGGAUAACGUAGCGAAAGCUACGCUAAUACCGCAUACGAUCUACGGAUGAAAGCGGGGGAUCGCAAGACCUCGCGCGAUUGGAGCGGCCGAUAUCAGAUUAGCUAGUUGGUGAGGUAAAGGCUCACCAAGGCGACGAUCUGUAGCUGGUCUGAGAGGACGACCAGCCACACUGGAACUGAGACACGGUCCAGACUCCUACGGGAGGCAGCAGUGGGGAAUUUUGGACAAUGGGCGCAAGCCUGAUCCAGCAAUGCCGCGUGCAGGAUGAAGGCCUUCGGGUUGUAAACUACUUUUGUACAGAACGAAACGGCUCUUUCUAAUACAAGGAGCUAAUGACGGUACUGUAAGAAUAAGCACCGGCUAACUACGUGCCAGCAGCCGCGGUAAUACGUAGGGUGCGAGCGUUAAUCGGAAUUACUGGGCGUAAAGCGUGCGCAGGCGGUUAUGUAAGACAGAUGUGAAAUCCCCGGGCUCAACCUGGGACCUGCAUUUGUGACUGCAUAGCUAGAGUACGGUAGAGGGGGAUGGAAUUCCGCGUGUAGCAGUGAAAUGCGUAGAUAUGCGGAGGAACACCGAUGGCGAAGGCAAUCCCCUGGACCUGUACUGACGCUCAUGCACGAAAGCGUGGGGAGCAAACAGGAUUAGAUACCCUGGUAGUCCACGCCCUAAACGAUGUCAACUGGUUGUUGGGUCUUCACUGACUCAGUAACGAAGCUAACGCGUGAAGUUGACCGCCUGGGGAGUACGGCCGCAAGGUUGAAACUCAAAUGAAUUGACGG